CGCUGAAACAUCCGUUCUCAUACGAUCACCGAAGUUAAGCAUUGUCGAGCUUAGGUAGUACCUAGAUGGGUGACAGCUUAUUCUUACAGAAUACCAGGUGCUGUAGU